rnacentral:rRNA from 1 species
AUUGAACGCUGGCGGCAUGCCUAACACAUGCAAGUCGAACGCGAAAGGUCCUUCGGGGCUUAGUAGAGUGGCGGACGGGUGAGUAACGCGUGGGAAUCUGCCCAGUAGUGGGGGAUAACUCGGGGAAACUCGAGCUAAUACCGCAUACGCCCUACGGGGGAAAGGCUUCGGCCGCUAUUGGAUGAGCCCGCGUCAGAUUAGCUAGUUGGUAGGGUAAUGGCCUACCAAGGCGACGAUCUGUAGCUGGUCUGAGAGGACGAACAGCCACACUGGGACUGAGACACGGCCCAGACUCCUACGGGAGGCAGCAGUGGGGAAUAUUGGACAAUGGGCGAAAGCCUGAUCCAGCAAUGCCGCGUGUGUGAAGAAGGCCUGCGGGUUGUAAAGCACUUUCAGUUGGGAAGAUGAUGACGUUACCAACAGAAGAAGCACCGGCUAACUCCGUG